rnacentral:rRNA from 1 species
CUCCUUCGGGAGGCCGCCGUAGGGGAUUUUUCCCCAAGGCCGCAAGUCUGAAUGAGCCACACCGCCGCAGUGCAGAAGGCCUCCGGGUCGUAAAACUCAGUUAUCCGGAAGGACAUAUACUUGUUUAUACGCGGCACCUGACGUACCGCCAAGCAGUCAGG